rnacentral:rRNA from 1 species
GACGAACGCUGGCGGCGUGCUUAACACAUGCAAGUCGAACGGAAAGGCCCUGCUUGCAGGGUACUCGAGUGGCGAACGGGUGAGUAACACGUGGGUGAUCUGCCCUGCACUUCGGGAUAAGCCUGGGAAACUGGGUCUAAUACCGGAUAGGAGCCAUUUUUAGUGUGAUGGUUGGAAAGUUUUUUCGGUGUAGGAUGAGCUCGCGGCCUAUCAGCUUGUUGGUGGGGUAAUGGCCUACCAAGGCGGCGACGGGUAGCCGGCCUGAGAGGGUGGACGGCCACAUUGGGACUGAGAUACGGCCCAGACUCCGACGGGAGGCAGCAGUGGGGAAUAUUGCACAAUGGGCGCAAGCCUGAUGCAGCGACGCCGCGUGGGGGAUGACGGCCUUCGGGUUGUAAACUCCGUUCGCUAGGGACGAAGCUUUUUGUGACGGUACCUAGAUAAGAAGCAUCGGCUAACUACGUG